GAUGAACGCUGGCGGCGUGCCUAAUACAUGCAAGUCGAGCGAACAGACGAGGAGCUUGCUCCUCUGACGUUAGCGGCGGACGGGUGAGUAACACGUGGAUAACCUACCUAUAAGACUGGGAUAACUUCGGGAAACCGGAGCUAAUACCGGAUAAUAUAUUGAACCGCAUGGUUCAAUAGUGAAAGACGGUUUUGCUGUCACUUAUAGAUGGAUCCGCGCCGCAUUAGCUAGUUGGUAAGGUAACGGCUUACCAAGGCAACGAUGCGUAGCCGACCUGAGAGGGUGAUCGGCCACACUGGAACUGAGACACGGUCCAGACUCCUACGGGAGGCAGCAGUAGGGAAUCUUCCGCAAGGGGCGAAAGCUUGACGGAGCAACGCCGCGUGAGUGAUGAAGGUCUUCGGAUCGUAAAACUCUGUUAUUAGGGAAGAACAAAUGUGUAAGUAACUAUGCACGUCUUGACGGUACCUAAUCAGAAAGCCACGGCUAACUACGUG
rnacentral:rRNA from 1 species